rnacentral:rRNA from 1 species
UACGUAGGGUCCGAGCGUUAAUCGGAAUUACUGGGCGUAAAGGGCGGGUAGGCGGCCACCGCAAGUCAGUUGUGAAAUCUCUGGGCUUAACCCAGAAAGGUCAACUGAUACUGCGGGGCUAGAGUGCAGAAGGGGUAACUGGAAUUCUCGGUGUAGCGGUGAAAUGUGCAGAGAUCGGGAGGAACACCGGUGGCGAAGGCGGGUCUCUGGGCAUCUCCUGACGCUGAGGCGCGAAAGCGUGGGGAGCAAACGGG